rnacentral:rRNA from 1 species
UACGUAGGGUGCGAGCGUUAAUCGGAAUUACUGGGCGUAAAGCGCACGUAGGCGGACUCUUAAGUCGGUGGUGAAAUCCUGGAGCUCAACUCCAGAACUGCCUUUGAUACUGGAGAGCUUGAGUCCGGAAGAGGUGAGUGGAACUCCGAGUGUAGAGGUGAAAUUCGUAGAUAUUCGGAAGAACACCAGUGGCGAAGGCGGCUCACUGGUCCGGUACUGACGCUGAGGUGCGAAAGCGUGGGGAGCAAACAGG